rnacentral:rRNA from 1 species
GAUGAACGCUGGCGGCGUGCUUAACACAUGCAAGUCGAACGAGAAAUGUAGACGGAAACCUUCGGGCGGAAGCCUUCAUUUCGAGUGGCGGACGGGUGAGUAACGCGUGGGUAACCUGCCUCAUACAGGGGGAUAACAGUUGGAAACGACUGUUAAUACCGCAUAAGACCACAGCAUCGCAUGAUGCGGGGGUAAAAACUCCGGUGGUAUGAGAUGGACCCGCGUUCGAUUAGCCAGUUGGCGGGGUAACGGCCCACCAAAGCGACGAUCGAUAGCCGAUCUGAGAGGAUGACCGGCCACAUUGGGACUGAGACACGGCCCACACUCCUACGGGAGGCAGCAGUGGGGAAUAUUGCACAAUGGGGGAAACCCUGAUGCAGCGACGCCGCGUGAGUGAAGAAGUACUUCGGUAUGUAAAGCUCUAUCAGCAGGGAAGAAAAUGACGGUACCUGAGGAAGAAGCCCCGGCUAACUACGUG